UGCGCAGGCGCAGUCAGUGGGCGUCUGGAGGGCUCUCGGGGCUUCCUUGUGGCGUCUGCAACCGGGGCGUUAGGCUGCCCGCGGCUGCUCCGCCUACGUCCAGACUCCUCCCGGCUGCCUGAGUUGCGCAACCCGUAGCCGGGGAAGCGCUACGUGGAGACCGCGCUAAGUGGAAGCCGAAGUCUGGAGCUGGGGAGCUGGAGGGCGGACCUUGAAAGGAUGCUGAACAUUCCUCAUCAGAAACCUGAGGAGGACACUGAAAAGACAGCCACAAUUUUCCUUCUGCUUUGCUGCCAAGUUUCUUGAGGGCUCAGCUGUUGGGAACUUGACUGCUAUCUUGGAGCAAGUGGAGUUCUCAGCAUCAAACUUGGGCAUUUGACCAACUUACUCAUCAACCUCAGGCAACAUUAGAACACGGCAACCUCCCCCACAUGCAGAAAGAUGCCUUUCUGUGGGUAUUCUUGAAGAAAAGGAAAGGAAGCAAGAGCUAGACCAUGCAUGACUUCUUCUCCUAAACUCACCAACCAGGGACCAAAUGUCAAACCAACGGUGGGAAUAUGAGUCUGCCUUGUUUAGAAAGGAAUCUUGACCCAGAGGCCUUCCUGCAAUCGAUAAGGUGUACUUGGCAAAAAGAGUUCCGGAGUUCCCCUGGGUAGAGAGGCCAAAGGGAAUCAUAGGUGGCUCAUUUGAGAAGAGGACCGCCUGAGACAAAGGAGUUCCAGAUGGAAGAAUCCAGCAGGGGAGCAUCUGAGGAGGCUGUGGAUGCUCCCAUGAGAGAAACCUCCAUUAAGGGAAACUACACCAGCUUAUACCUGCCAGUCAAAUAAGGCCCUCCCUCUUCUUACCAUUCGGUUCCUCUACUCCCAUCCUGGAGGGUCCAUUAGAAGUCAAGUGAUGGAGGAACAGAGCAGGGGGUCAGGGAGAAGUAGCAUUAACAGGGAAAUAGAGAUGAACAGCACAUUCCCCACUGCAGGCUCUUUGGGGAUGAAGUGACCAGAGGACAUUUUGUUAUCUGAGAUGAUCACAGGCAGAAGACCUUCCUAAUGUUUCAUCUGAAGGACGGAGAAGAGUAGGUGUAAAAGAGAGGCUUCAAAUGGGCAUUUGAGGGUGAAGAAUAAAAUUGUUUCUCUUUGCA